rnacentral:tRNA from 1 species
GCCGGAAUAGCUCAUUUGGUAAACCAGNGGACUGAAAACCCCCGNGUCAC